rnacentral:lncRNA from 1 species
UAAUCAAUGCUAAUCCCAGAGGAUAGGAAGGUGGAGCUUGUUUUAAGACGGGGGAAGGGCAGUGUCUGUGAUCAUGACACACAUCAGACGCUUCCCCUUCUAGACAUGUCAGGGGAUGUGAUGGCUUAUGGGAGGUGCUCUGGAAUAAAAGGGAGGGGGUUGUUCUUCCCUGGCCGGCUUUUAUCUUUAAUUGUCAACACUCCUGGCCUGCAGAGGAUUGAAAAGAAAACACUGCACAGGCCUAAAUCAGUCAGAGUAGCAGGGAAGGCGUGAGAUCCUCCACACUCAGGAUUUAAGUCUCUUCCUGCAAGUGGGGAACUUUGUUCUAUGCCUGGCCCACCUGUGCCUACUUCAAAAUGGUCCUGGACCUGGCCCCUGGUCUGCAAAGAAUGAAGUGAGGCAACAUCACUUGACCCCUAAAUCACUGAAGAAAUGUUUGCCUACCCAAGGAAAUGUGAUUCCUGGAAGUCCAGAUUUAUAAAGGAAAGAAGAGGAGUACUCACUGGCUGGCUGGCUGGCUCCCCUCAAGCUCCCUGGAAGAUCCCUUCUGUAGAAGAUAUUCUUCAGCAUUCGCUGCUGGAACCACCCAUCCCACCUGUAGUCAUAAGAGCAUCCCCGAGUCUCAUCUCAGUUUUCCUCCCUGAGAGCCCAGCUAAAUGCAGAAAGCUGGAGAGUAGGCUCUUGGGCGGAAGGGACUUGCCUUGUCUCAGAUGAGACUUUGGACUGUGGACUUUUGGGUUAUUGCUGAAAUGAGUUGAGACAUUGGGGGACUGUUGGGAAGGCAUGAUUAGUUUUGAAAUGUGAGGACAUGAGAUUUGGAGGAGCCAGGGGUAGAAUGAUAUGGUUUGGCUGUGUCCCCACCCAAAUCUCAUCUUGAAUUGUACUCCCAUGAUUCCUAUGUGUUGUGAGAGGGACCCGGUGCAAGAUCAUUUGAAUCAUGUGGGCAGUUUCCCCUGUACUGUUCUCAUAGUAGUGAAUAAGUCUCAUGAGAUCUGGUAGUUUUAUCAGGGGUUUCCACUUUUGCAUCUUCCUUACUUCUUGCUGUUGCUAUGUAAGAAGUGCCUUUCCCCUCCUACCAUGAUUCUGAGGUCUCCCCAGCCAUGUGGAAAUGUAAGUCCAAUUAAACCUCUUUUUCUUCCCAGUUUUGGGUAUGUCUUUAUCAGCAGCAUGAAAAUGGACUA